AUUGAACGCUGGCGGCAUGCCUUACACAUGCAAAUCGAACGGUAACGGGCCUUCGGGUGCCGACGAGUGGCGAACGGGUGAGUAAUACAUCGGAACGUGCCCGAUCGUGGGGGAUAACGAGGCGAAAGCUUUGCUAAUACCGCAUACGAUCUACGGAUGAAAGCAGGGGACCGCAAGGCCUUGCGCGGACGGAGCGGCCGAUGGCAGAUUAGGUAGUUGGUGGGAUAAAAGCUUACCAAGCCGACGAUCUGUAGCUGGUCUGAGAGGAUGAUCAGCCACAGUGGGGUGGAGACAAGGCCCGGACCCCACGGGGAGGAAGGGGUGGGGAAUUUUGGCAAAUGGGGGAAAGCCUGAUCAAGCCAGGCCGGGUGAAGGAUGAAGGCCUUCGGGUUGUAAACUGAUUUUGUACGGAACAAAAACCCUUUUUUUAAAACAGGGGGGUCAGGAAGGUACCGAAAAAAAAAGCACCGGCGAACUACGU
rnacentral:rRNA from 1 species